AAAAGUCAAAUCCUGAGGUCCUGUCUCGCAUCCUCUGUGCUGGUGGCGGCCAGAAAUGGGUUGCAUUUUCAGCAAAGGCCAAGACUCAGACCACCCAGCAGCACGCCAACUCCAUGACAAAGGCCAAGAUGGAGACUACCCAGCAGCACGCCAACUCCAUGAUGCAAUUCUUUGUAAAGCUUAUGAGGAUGUUAAGUUACAUUAUACUCUUGGUAGAGAAUUGGGUAGGGGUGAAUUUGGUAUAACCUAUCUUUGUACUGAGAAUUCAACCGGUCUGG
rnacentral:lncRNA from 1 species